rnacentral:lncRNA from 1 species
GGCCCAUAAUCAAAUAUCUAAGCACAUGUUUAGAUUCAGCAUAUCAAAGAAGCCCAAGAAUUCAAUUUUUGUUAAAAUCAAGCUAAGUUUAAUUUUAGACCCUUUGGACCUUUAUGUUGACCAAUUUGAAAACGAGACCAAAACUUAAGAAUCUACAUACACAGUUAGAAUCGGCAUAUCAAAGAACCCCAAUUAUUCAAUUUUUGAUGAAAUCAAACAAAGUUUAAUUUUGGACCCCAAUUUGGACCAACUUGAAACUGGGCCAAUAAUCAAAAAUCUAAGUACAUUUUUAGAUUCAGCAUAUCAAGGAACCCCAAGGAUUCAAUUUUUGUCAAAAUCAAACAAAGUUUAAUUUUGGACCCUUUGGACCUUAAUGUAGACCAAUUUGAAAACUGGACCAACAAUUUUAUGGUCAUAAACCUUGUGUUUAAAUUUCAUAGAUUCCUAUUUACUUAUACUAAAGUUAUGGUGCAAAAACCAAGAAAAAUGCUUAUUUGGGCCCCUUUUUGGCCCCUAAUUCCUAAACUGUUCGGACCUCAACUCCCAAAAUCAAUCCCAACCUUCCUUUUGUGGUCAUAAACCUUGUGUUUAAAUUUCUUUGAUUUCUAUUUACUUUUACUAAAGUUAUUGUGCGAAAACCAAGAAUAAUGCUUAUUUGGGCCCUUUUUUGGCCCCUAAUUCCUAAACUGUUGGAACCAAAACUCCCAAAACCAAUCCCAACCUUCCUUUUGUGGUCAUAAACCUUGUGUCAAAAUUUCAUAAAUUUCUAUUCACUUAAACUAAAGUUAUAGUGCGAAAACCAAGAAAAUGCUUAUUUGGGCCCUUUUUGGCCCCUAAUUCCUAAAAUGUUGGGAUCAAAACUCCCAAAACCAAUCCCAACCUUCCUUUUGUGGUCAUAAACCUUGAGUUAAAAUUUCAUAGAUUUCUAUUCACUUUUACUAAAGUUAGAGUGCGAAAACUAAAAGUAUUCGGACGACGACGACGCAGGACGACGACGACGACGCCAACGUGAUAGCAAUAUACGACGAAAAAUUAAAAUUUUUGCGGUCGUAUAAAAAUCAAGAGGAAACCUUUGUAAGGGCAGAUAACUCUUUAAAUCAGAAAAACUACGGUUUUAAAGCAAUUAACAUAUUUAAUACCAAUUUUCCUGCAUCUGAUACACAAUGAAUGUCUCUUAAGUGAUGUUUGAGGCCAAUUUUUUUUUAAUUCAAAUCAAUACAAAGGUAAAAGAGCUGAUCAAA